rnacentral:rRNA from 1 species
GAUGAACGCUGGCGGCGUGCCUAAUACAUGCAAGUCGAACGCUGGAAAUCUAGCUUGCUAGCUUGAAGGAGUGGCGAACGGGUGAGUAAUACAUAAGCAACCUACCCACGAAGACUGGGAUAAUCUCUGGAAACGGGGACUAAUACCGGAUAGGUAAUCGGAAGGCAUCUUCUGAUUAUUAAAGGUUAAAAACACUGGUGGAUGGGCUUAUGGCGCAUUAGUUAGUUGGUGAGGUAACGGCCCACCAAGACGAUGAUGCGUAGCCGGCCUGAGAGGGUGAACGGCCACAUUGGGACUGAGACACGGCCCAGACGCCUACGGGAGGCAGCAGUAGGGAAUUUUCGGCAAUGGGGGAAAACCUGACCGAGCAACGCCGCGUGAGUGAUGACGGCCUUCGGGGUGUAAAGCUCUGUUGUAAGGGAAGAACGGUAGAUAGAGAAUAUCUAAAUGACGGUACCUGACCAGAAAGCCACGGCUAACUACGUG